rnacentral:rRNA from 1 species
GACGAACGCUGGCGGCGUGCCUAAUACAUGCAAGUAGAACGCUGAAGAGAGGAGCUUGCUCUUCUUGGAUGAGUUGCGAACGGGUGAGUAACGCGUAGGUAACCUGCCUUGUAGCGGGGGAUAACUAUUGGAAACGAUAGCUAAUACCGCAUAACAAUGGAUGACACAUGUCAUUUAUUUGAAAGGGGCAAUUGCUCCACUACAAGAUGGACCUGCGUUGUAUUAGCUAGUAGGUGAGGUAACGGCUCACCUAGGCGACGAUACAUAGCCGACCUGAGAGGGUGAUCGGCCACACUGGGACUGAGACACGGCCCAGACUCCUACGGGAGGCAGCAGUAGGGAAUCUUCGGCAAUGGGGGCAACCCUGACCGAGCAACGCCGCGUGAGUGAAGAAGGUUUUCGGAUCGUAAAGCUCUGUUGUAAGUCAAGAACGAGUGUGAGAGUGGAAAGUUCACACUGUGACGGUAUCUUACCAGAAAGGGACGGCUAACUACGUGCCAGCAGCCGCGGUAAUACGUAGGUCCCGAGCGUUGUCCGGAUUUAUUGGGCGUAAAGCGAGCGCAGGCGGUUAGAUAAGUCUGAAGUUAAAGGCUGUGGCUUAACCAUAGUACGCUUUGGAAACUGUUUAACUUGAGUGCAGAAGGGGAGAGCGGAAUUCCAUGUGUAGCGGUGAAAUGCGUAGAUAUAUGGAGGAACACCGGUGGCGAAAGCGGCUCUCUGGCUUGUAACUGACGCUGAGGCUCGAAAGCGUGGGGAGCAAACAGG